rnacentral:rRNA from 1 species
UACGAAGGGGGCUAGCGUUGCUCGGAAUCACUGGGCGUAAAGGGUGCGUAGGCGGGUCUUUAAGUCAGGGGUGAAAUCCUGGAGCUCAACUCCAGAACUGCCUUUGAUACUGAAGAUCUUGAGUUCGGGAGAGGUGAGUGGAACUGCGAGUGUAGAGGUGAAAUUCGUAGAUAUUCGCAAGAACACCGGUGGCGAAGGCGGUGCUCUGGGCCGAAACUGACGCUGAGGAGCGAAAGCGUGGGGAGCAAACAGG